AUUGCUUUUUUAAGAUUCAUCUUUGCUUCCAGAAUGACACUGUUACCUGAAAUCAAAUGCAACACAUUAUGUGUCUUACUGGUUAAAACAAUUAGAAAAUAUCAGAAGUAGUAUUAACUAGUGAAUACAUGCAUUUGUUAAAAGUUUUAUUUAGUUUUAUGGUUUAUCUGUGAGCCUCUCUAUGACAGGUUAAAUUAAAUUGCAUCAGGUUUGUGUUUUCUUGGAUACUUGUUUAUUCUGUUUUUUCAUAAAUACACUGGAAAAAGUGAAGCACAAAGUUGUUCAUUCAAGCUAAAAACUACCAUUGAAUACAUUGUAAAAUAAUUGACUUGGUUGUGAAAGUCUAUUUUUUUGCAUUCUGAGGUGUCAAUUUUGAUUCAGACUGAAUUAAUAACACUUCUGAAGGAAAGAAAGCAAAUAUUUUGGUUCCUCUCAAAACAUACUGAAAGGAAAUGAUGUCAUAUUUUCAAUCUGAGUCACGUGAGAAGAAGUUGGGGAGAAGUGCUUGGAGAGCUUCGUCCGUUUCAGCAUGGGGAAGAAAAAAUGAUUAACGUCCCAGCACGUCAUCAAAGAAUAAACCUGCAGUAAGUACUAAACUAAGCUGAUGUAAACGUGUCUUAACAAGCCUACAAUUGUAUUAAUGCAAAAGACUGAGUUAAUGUCACCUGGUUAGCAAGCUGAAUGUCCCGCCUAAAUGUGGGUAUCCCAGUAAACGCUUUCUUUUUUCGCCGGGUUAAAUGUGGUGUAAUUUCUUAACUUACACGUAUUUCACGAGAAAUUUAACUAUGUGUACAUUGUUCGGUUGUAGCUGGAAUUAAUCAAGGUAGGCAUAAUUUGUUACCAAUCAAUAGCUUCCACCACGGUUAUCUCGGCUACACCGUGAAUUUGACUAGCUCAACACAUGUUAAGCCAUGUUAGCAAUUAGUUAGUCUAGUGUGUUUAUACCACUAUGAUUGUAAAGUCCCAGUUUGUUAAUGGUAGCGAGGCCCGUUGAAAAUGAAUGGUGUUUUGUGCAUGCAUUAUACUGCACUCCCCGCAGCUGCUGAAGAUCUUCAGAAAGAAAGGAGGGACCACUAAAGCAAGAACUGCCACGAUCCUUGAGUUUCUUGACCAGGUAUGAUGUGCAGUAUAUAAUUAGCCACUAACGACAGCCCGUAAUCCUUCUACAUGAAGAGGAUGUGCAGAUGAUGUGCAAUUGAUGUACAUGGCAUUGUUAUUGUGUGCCAAGUUGUUUUGCACCAUAUUCACUAUCAACCAUUUAAAAAAAGAAAAACAUGUGCCACCUAUGAGUACAUUAAUGUGUAGUAGCACAUAGAAAAUAAUUUGUGCACCUGUCACUGCACCAAAGAUACUUUGAGACUAUAGGAACCCAAACAGGAGCCAUCCAGUCUGUCUUCAUAUUUAAAGAGGGACUACCAGUGGCCUCUGGCAGAUGUACUAGAAUGGCUUUACAUUUUCACUGCUUUCAAUUAGUCUGCCAUGGAUUCAAUAUUGACCAGGCACACACUGUAAAAGCACUGUUUAUGGUAGAGCUGGGAAUGAAGUUGCUAGACUAGUCUACACAUCGCAUAAUAACCAUUUUGAUUGUCCCUAAAUGGUGCUGAUGCAGAUUUCAGAAGGGAGUGUAUCCUCAAAGCUCUCAUCAUCUACCUGGGAGAACGUGUUGAGGAUCUUAUAAAGGAAUACAUGGUCUCCCAGAAAGAUCAAGCUGAGCAGGAGCUGGAGAGGACCAUUAUGGCAGUCUUCGUCUUCAGAGAGAAUUCAAGCCUUUUACAGCAGCCCCAAGACGUUAGGAUUGUCAUUGAUGGUGUGGAAGUCCUCAAUGAGUUGCCUUCUCUUGCAGCCGGAGUGGCAAUGCUCUCUGGACUUUGCUGUGCUCUUAACAUGGAGUAUCCACAGGGUUUCAGGUUCACCUUUGAGGCCCUUCAGAAGAUCCUGAUGGAGCUUGGUUCCAACAAGAUGACUUCCAAGAUUCGCAAACUCAGUGGUGAACUCAAAACUGCACAGUAGUGUAUAUUUGUGUGUGCUUAAUGUGUGCAUGUAGUUGCCACUGGCUUCUAUUUCAGAGGUAGACCACCUCAGCAGCACUUUGUUACACAGGCUCACAGGGUCACUUUCAUGGAUGCUUUUGUUGGAAUUUUAGUUCUUUGAUGAUGUUUAGAGAUGCAACAUUCCUUCAAGUUCAGAUGUGUUUGAACAGUACAACAACAGUGGAUGCUUUCCGUCCAUUUAAUUUAGCUUGGUAAGCCAUAUUGUCUUUAUGUCAUUGCUCUGAUAUAGAGCAACAAUGACAUGUUUAUAUUUGUUUGUCUGAACAUGCAACUUUUUUUUGGUCCUUUUUUACUUGUGAGGAAUAAAUGACUUUGAAAAAAAACUGUUGCUGGAGUGUGUUAAGUGUGAUGUGAGUGAUGCAAAUUGUUUUUGAAACCAAGUUUAUGAAAUAUAAAAAAAGACUUUCAUAGUGCCAAUGAAUUAACUGGUGUUAAUGCCUGAAUAUUAGUUUGGUGCAAUGUAUAUAUAUUUGAUUGGUUCAAUUUCAAUAUUUUAGUUUGGUUCCAAAACUGAAAUGUAAAUAAUUUAACUUGGAUAAAGGUGAAGAAUUCGUAUUGGGUCAAGUAAAGUAAUAUGGUUUGAGUCAAAAUUAAAUAGUCAUGUUGUACCAAACCACUUUAUUUAGAUUCUGUGAAGUCAAAUAUUUUAGAUGCAACAAAUGGACAUCAGUUUUUUUAAUUUAAGCCAGGCCACACUUUUUAUAGUGUAGAUAGCAGUUUUACACAUAACAAUCUAAAGUCACAUCAAUAAGAAUUAUCAUAAGAAGCCUGAAAAACACUAAAUGCUCAAAGAGUAAAUUAAUUCAUGUUUCAGUUGUUAUUUGCUCUUU